UACCAGCACCCCGAGUGGUCGGGACGAUUAUUGGGCCUAAAGCAUCCGUAGCCGGCCUUACAAGUCCUCCGUUAAAUCCAGCUGCUUAACAGAUGGCUGCGGAGGAUACUAUAAGACUAGGAGGCAGGAGAGGCAAGCGGUACUCAGUGGGUAGGGGUAAAAUCCUUUGAUCCAUUGAAGACCACCAGUGGCGAAGGCGGCUUGCCAGAACGCGCUCGACGGUGAGGGAUGAAAGCUGGGGGAGCAAACCGG
rnacentral:rRNA from 1 species